UCCCGAGGUCUCAAGCGUUGUUCGGAUUCAUUGGGCGUAAAGGGUGCGUAGGCGGCGCGGUAAGUCGGGUGUGAAAUCUUGGAGCUUAACUCCGAAACUGCAUUCGAUACUGCCGUGCUUGAGGACUGGAGAGGAGACUGGAAUUUACGGUGUAGCGGUGAAAUGCGUAGAUAUCGUAAGGAAGACCAGUGGCGAAGGCGGGUCUCUGGACAGUUCCUGACGCUGAGGCACGAAGGCCAGGGGAGCAAACGGG
rnacentral:rRNA from 1 species